UUAAAUUACAUAAAAUAUAGGCAAAAAAUAUUAGAUCUUAUUACGGACAUAGUCUAGAAAUGACCGUACUAUAUUUAGCCCUAAGUAAUCGAGGUUAAAACGCAUUAGUGAUGAAAGAGGCCAAUCAUUUAGUUAUGUUUAGUUGUUUUGCACGCUAAUGGAAGCACACCAAUCAGCCACGUGCUGAAUGCUACUCAUAUAAAAUCUUUGUACUUAAAUUCAUUUUUGCGUUGUCUUUUUCAAGUUUUAAGUUCCACUCGACUCUUCCGUAUCAAAGUUUUGUAGAGUCGGGUGAAUGAAAUUUCUACUAUGACUUUUGAUGAGGAUACUUAUCAGCCAUCUAGUCCUGUUACAAUUAAUCUAAUGGCAGAAUUACCCAUACUUCUUCCAUUAAAUUAAAGCACUUUUGUGCGAAGUUAACCUUACCAUGAAGAAAUUAUGCCAAAUUAUGAAUUAGCGCUAGUGCUUGAAAAUACCUAGACAACACUCUUCCAAUUAUAGGCGUUCCAGUAUAGAACCAAAGUGAUGCUAAAAAUAUCAGGGACAAUGAGUACUGUAUUAAGCCUCACAUACAUCUGCAGAUAAUAAAAAAUAAUCUGCGUACAAGUUUAUGAACUAAUCACUACUCGCCAUUCAUUCUCUGAAGUUCGUGCUUUCACAGUAUAUGAGAAAAGAGGAAAUUAUUAGACUAGAAAUGGAAUUACUGUGGACCAUUUAUGGCAACCACUAUCGAACUCUAACCGAUACAUUACAAUGUAACAAAUCUGCUCAUGGUUCAUCUAUUAGUCUCGAAUAAUCUUCGUUGUAAAUACUGCGCGGAAUAGAGGACUGUGCGUUCCCUGUUCAUAGAGUAUCACCGAACUCAAUUCAUUCAUUAUAUUACAUAUAUACGUUGCAUGAUGUAUAUACACUUGUACCAGUCAUGCUGGCAAUGCAAAUUUCGGGGAUUAAAAUGUUCGGUAAAAAAUACAUCUAGCUUUUUCGGACAUUUUGUUUUCAAUGACACUUCUGUGAUAUGGAUAUUAUCAGAGUUCAAGCUGACAAGGUUGUAUAGCCAGCUAAUCAGCCAUGUUUGUUACUACAACGAUAGAACGAAGUCUGCCGCAAACAGCUGUUAAGUCCACCAGCGCGACUGCGGCGGACUUUCGACAGUCAGCUCUCAAAACCAGAUGUAUAAGGUAAUUUUGCGAAGCUAUCGAGUCUUUCUCGGGCGCUCAAUUAAUUCCCGAUGACAAUGUCAAGGCUACGAAUGAAGACAUUCACCAAAACAGAGCUAGAAUGGUCUCAGUAUUUGGACGUGGCACGACGUCAGUAUCCCUCACAAAGAACAGUUCAGCAAUUUGUAGUCAAAACUUCUCGAAUGCCAAUUCUGGUAAAGUUCACAAGUUCCUUAAUGGUACAGGCAGUUUUGAAACAGAUACCAUUCCGAAAGAAAGCACCGACAAAGUGUCGGACAGCAUUUACACACAAUUCGCACAUGAUACACAGUGCGCAAGACCGGAGUUUACGAAGAAUCCUCAGCCCGGAAUUGUUCCAGAUUCAGGUUCCGUCACUUCAAAUGAGUUCGCAGCAACGCCCCUGGGUAAACCACCCGCUCUUCAGGUCACUGGCCUUACCACGAUGCUGUUGUGCGUUCUUGCCGUUUCAAUUACCAUAGUCGGCCUUCUAGUGAUUCUUGCUCUGCAGGGUAUGUGGCCAUUUAAUUAUAUGUAAGUGUAUUUAACAGAUGAAUUUGUGUCGCCCCUUAAUAGAAUGUAGCUUGUGGUUUUGUAAGUUCGAUGUGGUUUGUAUGAGCAACGUGAAGGUUUCGGAAAAACAAGGUACGCAAAGUCACGGCUAUCGGAAUAUCGUAAGGUGAUAUGCACAACAUAAAUACGUAAGGUGUUUUCGAAGAUUUUGCCUUACGAUAUGGCGUAGCGGUAAGUUUUAUUUACCGGUUUGGCGAAAUGAGUGAAUCUGCUGGAAGAGAGAAAACCCUUGAAAGAGUUAUUCGUAGCUCAGGUAACUGAGUUACCGGAAGAUGACUAAGACCAGGAAAUACUGAAAGCUCUCUGUGUAGCUAUAUGACAUGCUAGAAAAUAACAUAUUGAUGUCCGCAACCUGCCCGAACAAAUCCUCAACGAACCUAACAAUAUAUACUUCGAUAUUCGAACAACUUACUAAAAUUUGGGCGUUCGAUUACACAAACCAGUAGAUACACAAUGUGUCGUGUGUGCCAAACAGCGACUGCAGAUAUACAACAAUACUGCAUACGUAGCACCUUGUAGUAAAAUCAUUCCAUAAAAACGACCGUUUUUAAAAGAACAGGACAAACUAGCUUCGCCAUUUGCAAGCGCACCGACGAGCUAAAGGGCGACUCAGCUGACCAGUGUUCUAAAUGGUAUCGACAACCUGCUACAGAACGGCGAUAAUCGUGGCGGACGAUGUCAUACUUUUUGAACCGCGCGAGGGGUCGCGACAUGCCGGUUCGUCCUUCCACACUCCAUCGAAGCGGAAUCGGUCAGCUCUGCAACUGCACAGAAAUCUGGCUGUGCCUGUUCACUGGUGAGUAAAGGAACUUCACGUUUUGCACUACCCAGCCGAAGUGAAUGUGGAGGUCAAUG